UCCAUGUGUAGCAUCCUCUGGGUGUUCGCCUUCUUCCGGGUGGCGCGACACAAGGACGUCAUCUCUACGUAGGCCGACUCCAGGUCGUUCUUGAGAGCGGACACUUGUGACGUGUCCUUUGGCGCCUGCAUCGGCAGGUCCUCCUUACCGACUUCCUCCAACCACAGAACAGAACGAGAAACUGCCUGGAAAAAAAUAGAGCGAAGAUGAGUAACGUGGCCAAGAGCCCAAGACACGAGUCUACGCCGGCGCCGCAGGAACGAGCUGACGCAUGACACGAGUGCUGCCGCUAACCCGCGAUGCACGAAGGCCGUCAAGGCCGGAGGCAGUGAAGCCGUGGGAGAAAUCUAUCAUAGAUUUCACGGUCAGGAGGCUCGAAACUCAUUCAUUCGGUUUUCUUCUAAUGUCUCAUCUAAUAUCUAAAUUAUGNN
rnacentral:lncRNA from 1 species